GAUUCCACACAGGAAGGUCACACGGUAUCUGACAGUGACAAGGGUGAAAAUCUGUUGGAUACAACCGUUGAGGGUAAUGCAGAAGAAGUGUUGUAUGUGUGGGAUGAUCAGCAGUCUAUAGCGGAGGAAAUAAUAGAGGAGGACACUCCUACAGAGAUCAGCACAGUAGAUGGACGGAAGAUGA